rnacentral:rRNA from 1 species
GACGAACGCUGGCGGCGUGCUUAACACAUGCAAGUCGAACGGAAAGGCCCUGCUUUUGUGGGGUGCUCGAGUGGCGAACGGGUGAGUAACACGUGAGUAACCUGCCCUUGACUUUGGGAUAACUUCAGGAAACUGGGGCUAAUACCGGAUAGGAGCUCCUGCUGCAUGGUGGGGGUUGGAAAGUUUCGGCGGUUGGGGAUGGACUCGCGGCUUAUCAGCUUGUUGGUGGGGUAGUGGCUUACCAAGGCUUUGACGGGUAGCCGGCCUGGGAGGGUGACCGGCCACAUUGGGACUGAGAUACGGCCCAGACUCCAACGGGAGGCAGCGGUGGAGAAUAUUGCACAGUGGGCGGAAGCCUGAUGCGGCGGCGCCGCGUGCGGAAUGACGGCCUUCGGGUUAUAAACCGCUUUCGCCUGUGACGAAGCGUGAGUGACGGUAAUGAAUAAAGAAGCACCGGCUAACUACGUG